UCCCCUGUAGCUCAAUCGGUAGAGCGCCGGACUGUUAAUCCGUAGGUUGCUGGUUCGAGCCCAGCCGGGGGAGCCA
rnacentral:tRNA from 1 species